CUGCCAUAAUUCUGUCCAAUUCGGCCCUCAUGUUGAGGCUGGUCCAUAAGCAAGAAUGCCCCUGAAACUGCUGUAUGAGGUGUAAAAUUAUCAGAAAAAGAAUGUCCAGCACGCUGCACCUCCCCCCAAAGAAAAUUCUGCCUGGCAACUCCAUCGUUAACUAGAUAGUCACGGAUUUUCAGAAUUUUUUUGAAAAGUGGUGAGUGAUAUUUCCUUGCUCGGACCUCCCAAAUGUUAGUCCCCUUAAGAUAAACGUGAUGAAUCCACCUAAUCCAAAGGGUCUCCUUAUUUUGAUGAAUGUUCCAUAGGGAUUUAGCAAGAAGUGCUAAAUUCCAACUUUAAGUCCUUUAAUCCAAGUCCCCCUUCUUCCUUCGGUAGGCACAAAUGUUUCCACGCAACUAAUGCCCUUUUAUUUUCCCAAAGAAAUGACCGACAAAGGCUAACAAUUCUAGAAAUAAUUGUAGCCGGAAUAGGGAAAAUAGAAAGCCAAAAGCAUUCAACUCCUUGAAGCACCGCCCGAAUAAGUUCCACUUUGCCGGCAUAAGAAAGGGGGGAGCAAUUCCAACCCCCAAUAUAACCCACAAUUUUAUCAAGGAAUGGAGCGUAAGAGCUCACCUUAAGCUUCUCCGAAGCAAGAGGGAUACCCAAAUAACGAAACGGCAUAGAUCCCUUCGAAAAAUCCGUAAUUUCCAUGAUUCUUUGAAGCUCAUACCCUGUAAUCCCAGUUGUAUAGAUGGCAGAUUUCAGAAAAUUUAUCUUCAAACCCGCAGUAAGACCAAACCUCAGAAGGCAAUUCAUGAGAAUUUGAAUGGACAUAAUAUCACCCCGAGCAAAAAGCAUCAAAUCAUCGGCAAAAGUCAAGUGUGUUAACUUAAUGGCUCCACACUUGGGGUGGUAAUUAAAAUUACUAUUCGAAGUAGCAUCCUUUACCAUCCUCGAAAAGUAUUCAAGACAAAGCACAACUAGGAAAGGAGAAAGAGGAUCACUUUGCCUAAGACCCUUACCACCUUUGAAGAAACCGUUUAUACUCCCAUUCAAAGCAAUAGAGUAUGUUGGAGUGGUAACACACUCCAUAAUCCAUCAAAUAAAUCUUGGAGGAAAAUUCAAACCUUCAAGUACACCAUUGAGAAAGUUCCAACUAAUGGAGUCAUAGGCUUUCCUCAAAUCGAUCUUAAGGAGACAUCUAGGGGCAACUCUCUUCCUAUUAUAUUGUCUCAUGAGCUCUUGGGCAAGAUGUAUAUUCUCCAUCAUGCUUCUACCUUCAAUGAAAGCGGCUUGAGCUUGGUCAACAAUGUCCCCCAAAAUAGGCCUAAACCUAGAUGCAAGGAUUUUUGCUAUUACCUUAUAUGUUACAUUGCAACAAGAGAUCGGUCUAUAAUCCUCCAUGGUAGGUGCAUGAGAAGAUUUUGGCACCAAAGCAAUGACCGCAUGGUUUAUUUGCUUAAGAAUAGAUCCCGAAGAGAAGAAUUCCAAAAUAGCCUCCUCAAAAUCCCGUUCAAUACAUCCCCAAGCACUCUUGAAGAAACAUGAAGUAUACCCAUCCGGUCCAGGAGAUUUAUCAUCUCUAAUUCCAAAAAGAGCCUCUUUUAUUUCCUCACAAGAGAUGUCCCGAACCAAAUCAUUCCCUUGUUCCAAGGAGACCAAAGGACCAUUGGCAAGGAUGUGUCUAUCAAUAGGCCGAACCGGCUCAAAAUUUCCCAGUAAAUUGGUGUAAAAAUUCACAAAUUCGGAAGCUACUUCCUCUUGAGAGGUGGUAUACAUCCCGUCCUCCUUAAGAAUAGAGGCUAUGAAAUUUCUUCUAGAAUUCCUUUUCACUACGGAGUGAAAGAAUUUAGUGCAUUUAUCACUAUCCUUUAGGAAAAAACACUUAGCCUUUUGGUAGUAAAAACUUCGUUCAGCUUCACAUAUAGAAACGGUCUUCUUCCUCAAUUUAGCAACCAAAUUCUGAAAAACAGCAUUGGAAGGUUGAUUUUGGAGCUGUAAUUGGGCAGAUUCUAACUCACAUUUAGCCUCCUUUGCUCUACUCGAGAUAUGCCCAAAGUGCUUGGAAUUUAGAACUUUCAAAGCCCCCUUCAAUUUGCUCAACUUCUUGCACAGAAUGAAUUGUCUACUCCCACGAAAGUGAGAAUUCCAACAAUCACUAACCAAGUCAUUGAAAUCCACAUGCUUGGUCCACAUGUUAAAGAACUUAAAGGGACAUUUACCUCUCCCUCCACAAUCAAGUAUACAGACAAUACACGGAGAGUGAUCGGAGAGACAUCUAGAUGGAAGGAAGUUUGCUUCCACAAAAACCCCCUUUAUGUAUCCAAACAUCAUUCACCAUAGCGUUAUCAAUUUUGCUCCACCUCGACCCAUCCGUCCAUGUGUAAAAACAACCAAAAGAACGAACAUCAGAGAGGCCCACAUUGAGACAACAAGAAGCGAGAUCUUUGAUUUCAUACGGGGUCACAUCCGACCCAUUGCAUCUCUCAUCAAACUUAAGCACAUUGUUGUAGUCCACCACAAUCAACCAAGGUAAAGAUACAUUUCCGUUGAGUUCCAUAAUGGUAUUCCAAAGAGGCCUUCGAUUUACUAUAGUAUGAAACCCAUAUACAAAACUCACAAGAACAGCAAGAAAAGUUACCUUGCAAGUAGUUUUACAAUGAAUGAUUUGUGGAUGAACCUCCAUCACAUCCAAAAUGACUUUGGAUGGAUUCCACAAAAUCAAUAUUCAUCCACCUUUCUGAGUACCAAAAUUGUUUGCAUGCCUAAAAUCAUUGAACUUGUUUCACAAAAUCCUCAUCAACUUUUCGUCCCCCACCUUCGUUUCCAAAAUAGCCAUGAUAUCAAUGCUAUAGAGUUUUAAAAACUCACGAAUCCCAUUUUGUUUGAGGGGUGGAUUCAUACCCCUAAUAUUCCAAGAUGCUAUCUUCAUGAUGAAGAAGCAAGCAGGACACCCCUCUUCUUGCGAACUUUAGAAACUGAUAUACCUUGCUCAUCAAUGUUGCCUUUGAGCCGUUCACAAUGAACUUUGCUGGAAUCAGCAUGAGGCAGAUUAGAAGAUGAAUUUACCCCAAUCUUUGAGGCCCCAAUGUGGUCCGUUUUAUCCUUCCCAACACCCUUCUUUUUCUUGUUAACAAUCUGGAUAAAAGGAGGGUCAUUCUGGUCAUGAUUUUCACCAUGCUGGACAGCAACAUUUUCCCCAGUAUUCUGACCCUUUUCAAUCCCCCCAACCUGUCCACGAUCUGGGCCAGCACACUACCCCCCGCCAUGGCCAGAAAUACGGCCGGCACACUGUUGGACGCCCACCGCCAAAAGCUGGUAAGGUUGUAGUCCAAGUUGUGACGAAUUUACACAAGUUUUCUGAGGACUCACUGGCCGGACAGCACUUUCUUUAAUAAGCGGUGCCUCAUUCACAUUCUAGGAAAGAUUAUUUCGUAUAGGAACUGCCUUCUUACCUUUGUCCUUGUGGCCACCAGAAAUUUUAGCCUUGCAACCCGAAGAUGAGUAGCCGAAAACUUUACAAGAGCCGCAAAAUUUUGGAUCAUAUUCAAACACAAUUUCCUGCUCCUUCAAUGCACCAUUUGGGAGUCGAAUCUUGACCUCCCGAACAAGGUCAACGGCGGCAUCAACUUCAACUAGUGCUCUAGCAAAAAAGAGACGACCCCUAGAGGCAGUAACUUUAUCCAUCGAAAUUGGUUUCCAUACCUUAGAAACAAUUUUCCCCAACGCGUUAGUGUUCCAAAGUUCUAACGGCAAACUCGGUAAGUUAAUCCAAACCGGCAUCUUACUAACAUCUUUAUCAUUGAAGUCGAAGUUUUUGGGCAUGAUUUUGAGCAUGAGCGGUCUACCAUAGACUAGGUACGGUCCUCCAUGCAAUACACUUAGCCUUUCGCUAUCCGUAUCAAAUUUAAAAACCAACCAACCACUUGUAUGCACAAAAUAUUUAUAUUUAACCUUCCAUGUAUCACAAAGUUGGAGUAGAGCAAUUUUACCCGGAAAUCUACCCGCAAAAUAUCCAACAAGUCCAUACCCCCAAGAAUGCUCAAUGUUAUCUACAUCCAUUUCACCUAACUCAACCUCCUCCGAUUGGUUGUGGAAAGGUUUCAACAUGAUGCUAUCUUCCAUUUUCUGGUUAUCUUUAAAAAGAUUUACUCAUGAGAUUUUUUUCUCCUCAUCCCUACUCUUUCCAGAUUCAUUUUCACGUUUUCCAGCACUAUUUCCAGCAUUUGUAAAUUCAACUUUACUAGCAUUGGAAUCAAAAUCAGAUUGGUCGGAGUCACUAUCCUCUUCACCAAGUGUUAUACAAACACUCGGAGAAGCAACAAUAUCCUUCAUCAAUAAACUCAUGACGGGAGGAGCAACAUUUACCUCAACAGGUGAAGGCUCACUAACCUUAGAUAAAUCAGUCCCACAAGACGAAGAAGGCUCGGUUGGAGGAGGAGCAACCUGUGGCUUGAGGGGGCCAAGCCCAAGAGAGGAAUACCUGAUCUUGUUUUUACCCAUAACACAAGGUAAAGAAAGGACCAGCUGAGGCCCAAGGAAAACGGCCAAAAACAGCCCACCAAAAGGCCCAGAAAACCGGCCCAAGAAUAUGCAGCAAAAAGCCCAGUCAAAGGAACCAACUGGCCCAGACAAUAGAAGAGAAAACCAGCCCAGCAAGCAAAGAACCAGCCCAAAGAAAGAGUGGAAACGGGUCAGCAGGAGACAGCACCCCCCAACCACCUGCAAGUCAGCUACUAGAAGCUGACAACCUGAAAAUGCCUGAAAACCCACUGGCCAAGAUAGAAAAGCAGGGAAAAACUGUCCCAAAAUUCAAAUGCCAAUCACUAGUGACAUGCAAAUAUACAUACAAAAUAUAAGCACACCAUGAAGAAGAAGAACAUCCAAUAACCCCAGCUGUUCGAAGAAGAAACCCAGCAAAAUGCAGUAAGAAAAUGGCCGAAACUGCCCGAGAACAAGAAUAAAUAGAGCAGAGAACAAGACCACAAGCAAUAGGCAAACCCGACUGCAAUAAAAUCGAAUCAAUGAAGCUUCAAGAACUCCAAACUUUGACAACCAGCAAUGAAUAAACCGGUCAGAAAAGCACAGAAAUCCCACCACCAAUGUUAAUGCACUGAACAAUAAUGUCCAGUCAAGAAACCAACCAGAAGACUACACCAAACAAUGCAAUUCUGGACUUUAAAAGUAGCACCCAGAUGUUAAACCCAAUUUCCACUUAAAGAAGAAGAAAUCCAACCUUAACACCAAGAACAAACCAAGAAAAACUCAAGAGCAAGUGUGCACCAAAGUGGGAACUCUCUCACUGGGUUGAGAACAUCUCUCUCUAACUCACUUGCUGUAAGUUCUUUCUCGAGGUUUUUCAUUACAGGGGAUGCCAAAGGAGCUCUAUUAAAAUACGAUGACCCGAAUUCUGUUUAGUCCGAUUCGAAAAGCUUGCUGUUGCUGAAGUGUCCUUAGAAGAAGAUCCUAGAAAAAAUAAAUUUCUCUAUUGAUGUAAUGAAGAAGAAAACUUGAAAAAACAAAUAUAAUAUCCCAUGAAAAGAAAUCAAACUAUGUUUGGCUCAGCUUAAAAGCAACUUAUUAUCUGCCUGAUAUUUUGCUUAAGUUUUUUUCUUGUCCUUAUCAACUAGCAUUUCUGUCGUCCUCACUGGCUGCCAAGCAUUUCAUAGGAACAUAUGAUCAUAUUUUUGCUAGCAGGCCACAUCACGGUGCCCAAAAUACAUUGGGUGACAAGAAGAAGAAUUUAACCUUCAGCCUUGGACAAUUAUGGAUGCACCUUGGAGUUCUAAGUGUUAAGUUGUAGAACUUAAUUAUUGUCGUUAUACGGCCGGAAUUUCAUUAAAGAUAGUUUAGAAAUUUCAUACUUAUAAUUUUUAUUUUGUCGUAAUUUUUUUUUUUUUAAUAAAUAAAGAGCCAUCACUAUGGCUUAUUUGAACAUCAUCGAAAGGGGGGAGAUGUUAGAGAAAAUAAGGUGUUUGAUUUUUCUCUUGCUAACCUCUAAUUCGACUCUAUUUUUUUAUUUUAUUUUAUCUAUUUCUCUUUUCUUGCGUGCGAUUAUUAAAUCCAUUUUUAUUCUUUGACAGUUGAUCCUAGAGUUAUAUGAUAGUAUAUGUUCCUGAUUGACGGAGAUUAAAAUUAAUUUUUCGGAAAAUUUUAAUAAAAAGUUAUAAACUUUACAAAAGGUGUGAUUAAAUUUAAUAAAAAUCUAAAUUAUCGAACAACGACUACAUAUUUGAUAUUUUUAUUGGAUUUAGAACAUUGGAAAAGAUUAUAAAUUUUCUUUUUUCAACUGAAUAGUUUAAACAUCCUUGUUUUUUAGAUGGAUCAGAUCAAUAGCACUAGCAGCAAAGAAUAGGUGAAUUCAUUUCUGCAACUAGAAAAACUUUAGAAACAUACUGGAAGAGAUUCUUAGAUAAAUGCUAGUCAUUAUUGCUAGUAUUAUAGAUAGCGAUAUUAA
rnacentral:lncRNA from 1 species